CCCUUAGGUGUCCUGGGCCGCACGCGCGCUACACUGAUGCAUGCAACGAGUUUCAUUUCUCCUGGGUCGAGAGGCCUGGGCAAUCUUGUUAACGUGCAUCGUGAUAGGGAUAGAUUAUUGAAAUUAUUAAUCUUGAACGAGGAAUUCCUAGUAAACGCAGAUCAUCAAUCUGCAUUGAUUACGUCCCUGCCCUUUGUACACACCGCCCGUCGCACCUACCGAUUGGAUGGUCCGGUGAAGCCUCGGGAUUGUGGUUCUUGCCGCUUUAUUGUGGCGUGACCGCGAGAACUUGUCUAAACCUUAUCAUCUAGAGGAAGGUGAAGUCGUAACA
rnacentral:rRNA from 1 species